AUGGAUUUCCUGCUGCUCGGUCUCUGUCUAUACUGGCUGCUGAGGAGGCCCUCGGGGGUGGUCUUGUGUCUGCUGGGGGCCUGCUUUCAGAUGCUGCCCGCCGCCCCCAGCGGGUGCCCGCAGCUGUGCCGGUGCGAGGGGCGGCUGCUGUACUGCGAGGCGCUCAACCUAACCGAGGCGCCCCACAACCUGUCCGGCCUGCUGGGCUUGUCCCUGCGCUACAACAGCCUCUCGGAGCUGCGCGCCGGCCAGUUCACAGGGUUAAUGCAGCUCACGUGGCUCUAUCUGGAUCACAAUCACAUCUGCUCGGUGCAGGGGGACGCCUUUCAGAAACUGCGCCGAGUUAAGGAACUCACGCUGAGUUCCAACCAGAUCACCCAACUGCCCAACACCACCUUCCGGCCCAUGCCCAACCUGCGCAGCGUGGACCUCUCCUACAACAAGCUGCAGGCGCUCGCGCCCGACCUCUUUCACGGGCUGCGGAAGCUCACCACGCUGCAUAUGCGGGCCAACGCCAUCCAGUUUGUGCCCGUGCGCAUCUUCCAGGACUGCCGCAGCCUCAAGUUUCUCGACAUCGGAUACAAUCAGCUCAAGAGUCUGGCGCGCAACUCUUUCGCCGGCUUGUUUAAGCUCACUGAGCUGCACCUCGAGCACAACGACUUGGUCAAGGUGAACUUCGCCCACUUCCCGCGCCUCAUCUCCCUGCACUCGCUCUGCCUGCGGAGGAACAAGGUGGCCAUUGUGGUCAGCUCUCUGGACUGGGUUUGGAACCUGGAGAAAAUGGACUUGUCGGGCAACGAGAUCGAGUACAUGGAGCCCCAUGUGUUCGAGACCGUGCCGCAGCUGCAGUCCCUGCAGCUGGACUCCAACCGCCUCACCUACAUCGAGCCCCGGAUCCUCAAUUCUUGGAAGUCUCUGACAAGCAUCACCCUGGCCGGGAACCUGUGGGACUGCGGGCGCAACGUGUGUGCCCUAGCCUCGUGGCUCAGCAACUUCCAGGGGCGCUACGAUGGCAACUUGCAGUGCGCCAGCCCGGAGUACGCACAGGGCGAGGACGUCCUGGACGCUGUGUACGCCUUCCACCUGUGCGAGGAUGGGGCCGAGCCUACCAGCGGCCACCUGCUCUCGGCCGUCACUAACCGCAGUGAUCUGGGGGCCCCUGCCAGCUCGGCCACCACACUCGCGGACGGCAGGGAGGGGCAGCACGACGGCACAUUUGAGCCUGCCACCGUGGCUCUCCCCGGCGGCGAGCACGCCGAAAACGCCGUGCAGAUCCACAAAGUGGUCACGGGCACCAUGGCCCUCAUCUUUUCCUUCCUCAUCGUGGUCCUGGUGCUCUACGUGUCCUGGAAGUGUUUCCCAGCCAGCCUCAGGCAGCUCAGACAGUGCUUUGUCACGCAGCGCAGGAAGCAAAAGCAGAAACAGACCAUGCAUCAGAUGGCUGCCAUGUCUGCCCAGGAAUACUACGUUGAUUACAAACCGAACCACAUUGAAGGAGCCCUGGUGAUCAUCAACGAGUAUGGUUCGUGUACCUGCCACCAGCAGCCCGCGAGGGAAUGCGAGGUGUGAUUGUCCCAGUGGCUCUCAACCCAUGCGCUACCAAAUACGCCUGGGCAGCCCGGACGGGCGGCGGGCACCAGGCUGGGGUCUUCUUGUCUGUGCUCUGAUAUGCUCCUUGACCCUUGACUGAAACUUUAAGGGGAUCUCUCCCAGAGACCUGACAUUUUAGCUUUAUUGUGUCUUAAAAACAAAAACGAAAUCAAACACAACAACUACAACAAAACCCCACCCCACAACCUUCAGGACAGUCUUAAAUUUCAUAUGAGAACUCCUUCCUCCCUUUGAAGAUCUGUCCAUAUUCAGGAAUCUGAGAGUGUAAAAAAGGAGGCAAAACUCUUACUUCUGAUAGGGCAUCAUCUCCUGGCCUUGCUCAACUGAACACAAUUUCUGAAGCCCUUUGGUUUUUUACUCAAAGCAAAGGUCCUGGCUAUUGAAUUCUUACAGUUUAGACAAAGAUAUAAAUGAGAUGGAGAAAUACAAUUUACUGAGCAGUCACUGGUAUGGUGCCUCUACCUACAUCACAAUAAGUGAGGGAGCUGCUAGCAACCUUAUCUUCACACGAAGAACCCGAAGAACCCGAGGCUUACAGAGGUCAAGUACACUGUGCAAAGUCACCCAGCUAGUGAUUGGGAGCACUGUGAUGUGUUAAUUGGCUUGGAGGCCUUUCACUAUCCCCUGUUUCUUUCUUCCUUGAAUGGUUGCCCCUCCACUCCUGCGCCUAGCAAAGAAUCUGGAACUAGAUUGGGAAGAGGAGACAUGCUCAACACAUUCUUGUUGAAUGCCAUGGGCACAAUGCCCCAAUCCAGGAAUUCUGACCAUGACUUGCUUGCUCUGGUGACUGGUAAUUGGGCAAUGCAGGGCUUUGCCAACAGAGGAGACUUCUCCAGGUUCCAGGAGAAGAAACGGCCAGUACAUUCAGUUCAACCUCUUAACAUAGGAUUUUGGACUCGGAGAGAGUAAGGUAUACACAUCCAUAUGUUAUCGUCAGGGAUUUAUCUGCAUUUCUUCCUUGGUGAUUAAAUGGAUCAUGUGCUCAUGGUAUGGUUCUCAACCAGGGGCAGAUUUGCCGCCCAGUGGACAUUUAUGUGUUUGUGUCUGGAGACAUUUUUAAGGUUUAUGCAUCGGCAAGGUGGUGCUAGCGGUAUCCAGUGGAUAGCUCUGGAUACUGUGAAAUAUCCUACAAACACGGACAUCCCCCACAUCAAAUAAUUAUUUGACCUAAAAUGCCAAGAGUGCUGGAGAUGAAAAACCCUGCUGCAUGAUGGAAAGUAAUGGUGCUGGGUUACCUUUCCCUUUAACUCUUUCUCUUGCCGGGUAUCUGGAAAUCUAAAUUACAAGCCCUCAGAUUAGUUAAUAAUCAGCAAACGGGCCUAUAGUUAACACAUGCUUCUCAAAGAACAUAUGGCAAAACUUAAAUUAACUAGGACAAAACUAGUCAGAACCUUCAAUUGACCCACUUUUUCUUUGGCAAUACCUCAUUUAGGAAACAGGAAAAAAAAAUCAAGUUAACAGUAGAGAUUUAAUUAACAAGAAGGAAAAUGAGAAACUUGAUAUUCCUUUUAGGAGGGGUUCUGCAGUCUGAACAAAUCCAAUCCAUGAGCCUGUGCCUACUUUUUCCCCAACCAAAAGUGUAAUGUGUCUGAGGUGGUGAUGAACCUCUGUUUUAAAAAUCAGUGUGCUAAAAAAUAAACGCUUGAGGGGA